rnacentral:rRNA from 1 species
UGGGGAAUUUUGGACAAUGGGCGAAAGCCUGAUCCAGCAAUGCCGCGUGUGUGAAGAAGGCCUUCGGGUUGUAAAGCACUUUUGUCCGGAAAGAAAUCCUUGGCUCUAAUACAGUCGGGGGAUGACGGUACCGGAAGAAUAAGCACCGGCUAACUACGUGCCAGCAGCCGCGGUAAUACGUAGGGUGCAAGCGUUAAUCGGAAUUACUGGGCGUAAAGCGUGCGCAGGCGGUUUGCUAAGACCGAUGUGAAAUCCCCGGGCUCAACCUGGGAACUGCAUUGGUGACUGGCAGGCUAGAGUAUGGCAGAGGGGGGUAGAAUUCCACGUGUAGCAGUGAAAUGCGUAGAGAUGUGGAGGAAUACCGAUGGCGAAGGCAGCCUCCUGGGCCAAUACUGACGCUCAUGCACGAAAGCGUGGGGAGCAAACAGGAUUAGAUACCCUGGUAGUCCACGCCCUAAACGAUGUCAACUAGUUGUUGGGGAUUCAUUUCCUUAGUAACGUAGCUAACGCGUGAAGUUGACCGCCUGGGGAGUACGGUCGCAAGAUUAAAACUCAAAUGAAUUGACGGGGUCAUAGCUGUUUCCU